CGAGCUUGCGCCUUAUAUUUUCAGGCGGAGCACUGAAAAUCCGCAAGCUCUACUUAGGCUGGCGUCAUAAGCUCGC
rnacentral:tRNA from 1 species